rnacentral:rRNA from 1 species
AUUGAACGCUGGCGGCAUGCCUUACACAUGCAAGUCGAACGGCAGCACGGGUGCUUGCACCUGGUGGCGAGUGGCGAACGGGUGAGUAAUACAUCGGAACGUACCUUAUCGUGGGGGAUAACGCAGCGAAAGUUGCGCUAAUACCGCAUACGCCCUGAGGGGGAAAGCGGGGGACCGUAAGGCCUCGCGCGAUUAGAGCGGCCGAUGUCCGAGUAGCUUGUUGGUGAGGUAAAAGCUCACCAAGGCGAUGAUCAGUAGCUGGUCUGAGAGGACGAUCAGCCACACUGGGACUGAGACACGGCCCAGACUCCUACGGGAGGCAGCAGUGGGGAAUUUUGGACAAUGGGGGCAACCCUGAUCCAGCAAUGCCGCGUGAGUGAAGAAGGCCUUCGGGUUGUAAAGCUCUUUUGUCAGGGAAGAAACAGCAGCUCUAACACAGUCUGCGAAUGACGGUACCUGAAGAAUAAGCACCGGCUAACUACGUGCCAGCCGCCACGGUAA